rnacentral:lncRNA from 1 species
AUGCCAGUGGCAACUGUGCCCCUGAAGGGGUGGUGGCCCACGCACAGCUUCCGUCCCCCAUCAGUCCACGCACAGCUUCCGUCCCCCGUCAGUCCACGCACAGCUUCCGUCCCCCGUCAGUCCACGCACAGCUUCUGUCUCCCGUCAGUCCGGUACUCCAGCAGCGGUGAAAAUCUCCUCAGUUCUUGUCUGUUCCAUCAGGCCAGCCCACCAUCUGAGCCCCAAACUCGAGUGCUCACCCUGCAGCCCGGGUUGGGAUGUCUGUGCUCCAGGCUGGAGACCACAGUGAACCUCCGCACAGAUGUGCCUCCACCACCAGCUGUGUGCCUGCUGCUCUGUAGCCCCUGGGAUUCACAGCAGUGCAGGCCCCACUGAUGUGCCCACCUCUUGCCUGGGCAGGGGGGUGCUUCCGGCUCAUGGACACCUUGGAGAACCUCAAGAGUCACCCCGUCUCUGUCCCUUUGGUUUCCUGGAUGAGGCAGACAGCACGCCCCUGCACAUACCUGUCUGCCCUGAGCCCACUCACCUUCCCACCUGGCCCUGAUGGAGGAACAAGCUGAGCUGGAAGCUGCACCUCAGGCUUUGGAGUCCCUCAAGAGACCUCACCCCUGCUGCAGGUCCCUAGUCCAGGGAAGAGGGAUGAGCCCAUGGGGCCAGCCCAGGCCCCCGCCCCACCCCACCACCCACUUCCUGAUGUGCCCGGUGCUGUUUGGGCCCCAGGGAGGAGGAGGAGCUCCUUGAAAACAGUGGUUAUGGCUCCCGUCACCCGCGACGUGGGACUUUGGACAAGUUAUGUAUGCCUGGAGCCUCACCUGUCUGCUGGGCACCUCACACCUGCCCACGGGGCCUCCAUGAGGAUAAUGUGAGGAGCUCCAUGCGCUGCCUGGCACAGGGGGAGCCUCAUAAUGGGUGAGGUCAUUGUAAGAAUUAAAGAAUGGAAACACACACACAACUCUCCCUCUCAAAUAAGCACAGCAAAAAAACACAGAAGCAGUCCAAGCUUCUAAUAAACUCUCCCACCCUAAAUCCUUAAAAACUCUUAGUCCAUAAAAGAGUGCGCUCUGACCUAACUCAGCCAGCCGCCCCUCUCAGGUUUGUUUAAAAUAAACCUGUCCCUGUUGACUGUACAGCCACCCUUCGUGUUUCUCUCCUCUUUCUUUAAUUAUUACAGUCAUAGUCUCUUGCCGGGCAAGACAGGCACGUGUCUUCAGGAAACAACAUGUGUGCUGGGUAGUGUGACUUCCCCGAGUGCAGGAGCAGUGACCCAGUCCCCUUCUCCCCACAGCGCCACCUCAGUCCCUCAGUCACAUCUAGGUGGCUUAUCUUCAGCAAGGUGUAAACUGGCCACAACCACCAGCCGCUGAGGACCUCUCUCCCCUCUUGAGAGAUGUCAGGGUCCCUUUCCCAGCGCCCCUGGCUGUGCAGCCCUGACGUCCCCACUCACAGCAGGAUGCCCACCACAGCCCCAUCAGCCAGGCUCCUGGCCUUCACCAACCACCCAGCCGGGCUGGCUCUGUGACGUCAGCAGCGAAGAAGACACAGUCCCUGAACGUGGAAUCACAACUGAGAGGGAGGGACCGCUGGCCACGUGGGCUGCCUGUGGCCCCUCAGAGCCCUCAGCACCCACGGCAUUUCCAAGCAAGUCUGGCUAUAGCAGUUGGAAGCUAUGCUCUGCCUAGCCCAUCGCAUGACCCCUGGAGGGGCUGCCCCCUCCUCGGCCAACUCAAGGCAGGCUGGCACCUCCCUCCAAGGCUCCUGCCCUCCAAAUCCAAGGACGCUGCUUCCUGGGAAGGACAGGACCUGCUCAUCCCCUCCCCAUGGAGGGGGCUUGAGGAGCCAGGUGUCUAGAAGGGGCUGAGGCUUCUCAAAGCUGGCACUGACUCCUCCAGAUGAGCUCCCCUCUCUUGCUGCCUCCCCUCAGUGCAGAGGUGCAGGGGUGGUGAGGAGAUCACAGGCUCACAGAGAGCCCAGCCGACAACCCCUUCGUCAGCCCCUGCACACUGCGGAUCACAUCACGGGCGCAGAACAUGAAGCUCUGUUCAGGGGGGCAUUCCUCGCCUAGCAGCAAAGGCAAGCCCGUCCCCCAGGUGUGGAUGCAGGGUCCUGGGGCAGCCUCCCCGUCUCCCUGCCCAUGUGGUCCUAGGCACUGUACAUCCAUUUUUGCUACCCACCCUAGCCCUGGGGAAAGGAG